rnacentral:rRNA from 1 species
UACGUAGCAGCAAGCGUUGUUCGGAGUUACUGGGCGUAAAGGGUGCGUAGGCGGCUUUUUAAGUUUGGUGUGAAAUCUCCCGGCUCAACUGGGAGGGUGCGCCGAAUACUGAGAGGCUAGAGUGUGGGGAGAGGAAAGUGGAAUUCCUGGUGUAGCGGUGAAAUGCGUAGAUAUCAGGAGGAACACCGGUGGUGUAAACGGCUUUCUGGACCAUAACUGACGCUGAUGCACGAAAGCGUGGGUAGCAAACAGG